GGUUAAGCGACUAAGCGUACACGGUGGAUGCCCUGGCAGUCAGAGGCGAUGAAGGACGUGCUAAUCUGCGAAAAGCGUCGGUAAGGUGAUAUGAACCGUUACAGCCGGCGAUGUCCGAAUGGGGAAACCCAGUGCAAUUCGUUGCACUAUCGUUAACUGAAUACAUAGGUUAACGAGGCGAACCGGGGGAACUGAAACAUCUAAGUACCCCGAGGAAAAGAAAUCAACCGAGAUUCCCCCAGUAGCGGCGAGCGAACGGGGAGCAGCCCAGAGUCUGAAUCAGCUUGUGUGUUAGUGGAACGGUCUGGAAAGUCCGACGGUACAGGGUGAUAGUCCCGUACACCAAAAUGCACAGGCUGUGAACUCGAAGAGUAGGGCGGGACACGUGGUAUCCUGUCUGAAUAUGGGGGGACCAUCCUCCAAGGCUAAAUACUCCUGACUGACCGAUAGUGAACCAGUACCGUGAGGGAAAGGCGAAAAGAACCCCGGCGAGGGGAGUGAAAAAGAACCUGAAACCGUGUACGUACAAGCAGUGGGAGCACCUUCGGGUGUGACUGCGUACCUUUUGUAUAAUGGGUCAGCGACUUAUAUUCUGUAGCAAGGUUAACCGUAUAGGGGAGCCGCAGGGAAACCGAGUCUUAACUGGGCGUUAAGUUGCAGGGUAUAGACCCGAAACCCGGUGAUCUAGCCAUGGGCAGGUUGAAGGUUGGGUAACACUAACUGGAGGACCGAACCGACUAAUGUUGAAAAAUUAGCGGAUGACUUGUGGCUGGGGGUGAAAGGCCAAUCAAACCGGGAGAUAGCUGGUUCUCCCCGAAAGCUAUUUAGGUAGCGCCUCGUGAAUUCAUCUUCGGGGGUAGAGCACUGUUUCGGCUAGGGGGUCAUCCCGACUUACCAACCCGAUGCAAACUACGAAUACCGAAGAAUGUUAUCACGGGAGACACACGGCGGGUGCUAACGUCCGUCGUGAAGAGGGAAACAACCCAGACCGCCAGCUAAGGUCCCAAAGUCAUGGUUAAGUGGGAAACGAUGUGGGAAGGCACAGACAGCCAGGAUGUUGGCUUAGAAGCAGCCAUCAUUUAAAGAAAGCGUAAUAGCUCACUGGUCGAGUCGGCCUGCGCGGAAGAUGUAACGGGGCUAAACCAUGCACCGAAGCUGCGGCAGCGACACUAUGUGUUGUUGGGUAGGGGAGCGUUCUGUAAGCCUGCGAAGGUGUGCUGUGAGGCAUGCUGGAGGUAUCAGAAGUGCGAAUGCUGACAUAAGUAACGAUAAAGCGGGUGAAAAGCCCGCUCGCCGGAAGACCAAGGGUUCCUGUCCAACGUUAAUCGGGGCAGGGUGAGUCGACCCCUAAGGCGAGGCCGAAAGGCGUAGUCGAUGGGAAACAGGUUAAUAUUCCUGUACUUGGUGUUACUGCGAAGGGGGGACGGAGAAGGCUAUGUUAGCCGGGCGACGGUUGUCCCGGUUUAAGCAUGUAGGCUGGUUGUCCAGGCAAAUCCGGAUAAUCAAGGCUGAGGUGUGAUGACGAGGCACUACGGUGCUGAAGUAACAAAUGCCCUGCUUCCAGGAAAAGCCUCUAAGCAUCAGGUAACAUCAAAUCGUACCCCAAACCGACACAGGUGGUCAGGUAGAGAAUACCAAGGCGCUUGAGAGAACUCGGGUGAAGGAACUAGGCAAAAUGGUGCCGUAACUUCGGGAGAAGGCACGCUGGUGUGUAGGUGAAGUCCCUGCGGAUGGAGCUGAGACCAGUCGAAGAUACCAGCUGGCUGCAACUGUUUAUUAAAAACACAGCACUGUGCAAACACGAAAGUGGACGUAUACGGUGUGACGCCUGCCCGGUGCCGGAAGGUUAAUUGAUGGGGUUAUCCGUAAGGAGAAGCUCUUGAUCGAAGCCCCGGUAAACGGCGGCCGUAACUAUAACGGUCCUAAGGUAGCGAAAUUCCUUGUCGGGUAAGUUCCGACCUGCACGAAUGGCGUAAUGAUGGCCAGGCUGUCUCCACCCGAGACUCAGUGAAAUUGAACUCGCUGUGAAGAUGCAGUGUACCCGCGGCAAGACGGAAAGACCCCGUGAACCUUUACUAUAGCUUGACACUGAACAUUGAGCCUUGAUGUGUAGGAUAGGUGGGAGGCUUUGAAGCGUGGACGCCAGUCUGCGUGGAGCCAACCUUGAAAUACCACCCUUUAAUGUUUGAUGUUCUAACGUUGGCCCCUGACCGGGGUUGCGGACAGUGUCUGGUGGGUAGUUUGACUGGGGCGGUCUCCUCCCAAAGCGUAACGGAGGAGCACGAAGGUUAGCUAAUCCUGGUCGGACAUCAGGAGGUUAGUGCAAUGGCAUAAGCUAGCUUGACUGCGAGCGUGACGGCGCGAGCAGGUGCGAAAGCAGGUCAUAGUGAUCCGGUGGUUCUGAAUGGAAGGGCCAUCGCUCAACGGAUAAAAGGUACUCCGGGGAUAACAGGCUGAUACCGCCCAAGAGUUCAUAUCGACGGCGGUGUUUGGCACCUCGAUGUCGGCUCAUCACAUCCUGGGGCUGAAGUAGGUCCCAAGGGUAUGGCUGUUCGCCAUUUAAAGUGGUACGCGAGCUGGGUUUAGAACGUCGUGAGACAGUUCGGUCCCUAUCUGCCGUGGGCGCUGGAGAAUUGAGGGGGGCUGCUCCUAGUACGAGAGGACCGGAGUGGACGCAUCACUGGUGUUCGGGUUGUCAUGCCAAUGGCACUGCCCGGUAGCUAAAUGCGGAAGAGAUAAGUGCUGAAAGCAUCUAAGCACGAAACUUGCCCCGAGAUGAGUUCUCCCUGAGACUUUAAGUCUCCUGAAGGAACGUU
rnacentral:rRNA from 1 species